UCCUGUUUGGCUCGGUUGGUAGAGGGCUCCACUGGAAAUGGAGAGGUUCCUGGUUCAAUGCCAAGACCAGGCG
rnacentral:tRNA from 1 species